AACUGGCUGUGAAAAUAUUGCAGCUUUCCGUCGAAAGACGGAUUGAAAAACGAGGUGAAAUCGGGGAAGUCCUCCUUCAUAAAGAAGUGAGGAUAAUCCCGAGCCAAGUCCUGUUUUACAGCAGGGAAGGCGUAGAGACUAUCUUUUUAUAAGAGUACUCCAUAUUGAUAUGGGGGAAGCGCCUCGCCCCCUCUUUUUGAUCAAAAAGAGGGGGAUGAUAUAGUCCGCACCUUAAAGCAAUUUAGGG
rnacentral:ncRNA from 1 species